rnacentral:rRNA from 1 species
CAGCCGCCGCGGUAAUACGAGGGGGGCAAGCGUUGUUCGGAAUUACUGGGCGUAAAGGGCGCGUAGGCGGCCAUUCAAGUUAGAUGUGAAAGCCCUGGGCUCAACCUGGGGGCUGCAUUCAAUACGUGCAGGCUUGAGUGUGGAAGAGGGUUGUGGAAUUCCCAGUGUAGAGGUGAAAUUCGUAGAUAUUCGGAAGAACACCAGUGGCGAAGGCGGCUCACUGGCUCAUACUGGACGCUGAGGUGCGAAAGCGUGGGGAGCAAACAGGAUUAGAGACCCGCGUAGUCCCUGUCUCUUAUAC